rnacentral:lncRNA from 1 species
CUACUAAUCUAUCACUAGCAAGUGAAAUAUAACAAUUUACUAGCCAAUGGCUAAAGACAGACAAUAUUUAGUUGCCUGAUGUGAAAUGUGGUUGCAUAUGCAAGUGAUUUACUCGCAUUGUGCAGGUUUGAAAACGUUAAUAACAAUAAUAAUGCAUUGAAGUAAAUCUUAAAUGAGACAACCAAACCAGCCCACAUCAAACUAUAAAGCACAAUUUAUAUUUGCACUACACUGGCUACUAUUUGAGGGGUUUCUCUGUCCUGGACGUACCCCUCUGUGGCUCUAUACGGGCUGAGCUCCAAGAAGGAUUGUGUGAAGCUAAUAAAGUCCAAGUCCAGGUCCUCCCUCUGCAUCCGUCCCAGAGAAAGCCUAAUCCCGUUAGCUGUGCUUUCUCAUGGAUAAUCCCUCCACUUCCCACCUGGCCGUCCUUCAGCCUCAGCCUCUCUCUGGGAUGACCGUCUUCUGCUGAACACUGCAGCAUGUUUAGCUGGGUGAUAAAGGUUGUUCCCCAGCCUCCAGCAUCUCCUGGGAAGCUGGCAGAGGAGGACCAGACCAAUGCUUCCACUGCAGCACCAGAUGUGACGAAAAAAGAGGAAGUAAAACAAGGUAACUAUGCACUCUAUCAAAUUUGACAGCAGUUUUGAUCAAUGACCAACACUGAAUCACAGAAAAAAAUACAGACCUGAGAGCACUGUUCAUUUAUUUUUCAUAAUGUUAUUUUACAGAAACUUCCAAGUCAACGGAGGAGGUCUCAGACGAGAACAGGUGAUGUUAUGUUUGUGUGUGUGUGUGUGUGUGUGUGUGUGUGUGUGUGUGUG